rnacentral:lncRNA from 1 species
UUGGAUAAUAUGGAAAUUCGAAUGUACUUAUCACUCCGUCCCAUGAAAAACCAAACCUAAAAAACCAUGAGUUCAAUAAUCCGAAAAAACCUAAAAAACCAUGAGUUCACCUUGGAAAUUACAGCUCUAUUUGCAAGCCGCCGCCGGAGAUGCCACAUGCCGUCAAUUCGUUCAAUAAUCCGAAAAAACCAACAAUCUUCUACAAAAUAAAUAAAUCAUGAGUUAGGGUUUCAAUAGCGUUGGAGAAGAUUGGGCGUGUUAGGGAAU